UUGCGAUCACAGUCUCGAGGUGCCCCUCACGGGGAGAAUCGGGAAGCCGGUGAAAAUCCGGCACAGGGCCCGCUGCGGUGACCCAGGCUCGACCUGGGAAGUCCGAAGACCGGCCUCGAGGCUGACUGGCGGA
rnacentral:ncRNA from 17 species